GGGUUGUGAGGUUAAGCGACUAAGCGUACACGGUGGAUGCCCUGGCAGUCAGAGGCGAUGAAGGACGUGCUAAUCUGCGAUAAGCGUCGGUAAGGUGAUAUGAACCGUUAUAACCGGCGAUUUCCGAAUGGGGAAACCCAGUGUGAUUCGUCACACUAUCAUUAACUGAAUCCAUAGGUUAAUGAGGCGAACCGGGGGAACUGAAACAUCUAAGUACCCCGAGGAAAAGAAAUCAACCGAGAUUCCCCCAGUAGCGGCGAGCGAACGGGGAGCAGCCCAGAGCCUGAAUCAGUGUGUGUGUUAGUGGAAGCGUCUGGAAAGGCGUGCGAUACAGGGUGACAGCCCCGUACACAAAAAUGCACAUACUGUGAGCUCGAUGAGUAGGGCGGGACACGUGGUAUCCUGUCUGAAUAUGGGGGGACCAUCCUCCAAGGCUAAAUACUCCUGACUGACCGAUAGUGAACCAGUACCGUGAGGGAAAGGCGAAAAGAACCCCGGCGAGGGGAGUGAAAAAGAACCUGAAACCGUGUACGUACAAGCAGUGGGAGCACGCUUAGGCGUGUGACUGCGUACCUUUUGUAUAAUGGGUCAGCGACUUAUAUUCUGUAGCAAGGUUAACCGAAUAGGGGAGCCGAAGGGAAACCGAGUCUUAACUGGGCGUUAAGUUGCAGGGUAUAGACCCGAAACCCGGUGAUCUAGCCAUGGGCAGGUUGAAGGUUGGGUAACACUAACUGGAGGACCGAACCGACUAAUGUUGAAAAAUUAGCGGAUGACUUGUGGCUGGGGGUGAAAGGCCAAUCAAACCGGGAGAUAGCUGGUUCUCCCCGAAAGCUAUUUAGGUAGCGCCUCGUGAAUUCAUCUCCGGGGGGUAGAGCACUGUUUCGGCAAGGGGGUCAUCCCGACUUACCAACCCGAUGCAAACUGCGAAUACCGGAGAAUGUUAUCACGGGAGGCACACGGCGGGUGCUAACGUCCGUCGUGAAGAGGGAAACAACCCAGACCGCCAGCUAAGGUCCCAAAGUCAUGGUUAAGUGGGAAACGAUGUGGGAAGGCCCAGACAGCCAGGAUGUUGGCUUAGAAGCAGCCAUCAUUUAAAGAAAGCGUAAUAGCUCACUGGUCGAGUCGGCCUGCGCGGAAGAUGUAACGGGGCUAAACCAUGCACCGAAGCUGCGGCAGCGACGCUUAUGCGUUGUUGGGUAGGGGAGCGUUCUGUAAGCCUGUGAAGGUGUACUGUGAGGUAUGCUGGAGGUAUCAGAAGUGCGAAUGCUGACAUAAGUAACGAUAAAGCGGGUGAAAAGCCCGCUCGCCGGAAGACCAAGGGUUCCUGUCCAACGUUAAUCGGGGCAGGGUGAGUCGACCCCUAAGGCGAGGCCGAAAGGCGUAGUCGAUGGGAAACAGGUUAAUAUUCCUGUACUUGGUGUUACUGCGAAGGGGGGACGGAGAAGGCUAUGUUGGCCGGGCGACGGUUGUCCCGGUUUAAGCGUGUAGGCUGGUUUUCCAGGCAAAUCCGGAAAAUCAAGGCCGAGGCGUGAUGACGAGGCACUACGGUGCUGAAGCAACAAAUGCCCUGCUUCCAGGAAAAGCCUCUAAGCAUCAGGUAACAUCAAAUCGUACCCCAAACCGACACAGGUGGUCAGGUAGAGAAUACCAAGGCGCUUGAGAGAACUCGGGUGAAGGAACUAGGCAAAAUGGUGCCGUAACUUCGGGAGAAGGCACGCUGAUACGUAGGUGAAGCGACUUGCUCGUGGAGCUGAAAUCAGUCGAAGAUACCAGCUGGCUGCAACUGUUUAUUAAAAACACAGCACUGUGCAAACACGAAAGUGGACGUAUACGGUGUGACGCCUGCCCGGUGCCGGAAGGUUAAUUGAUGGGGUUAGCGCAAGCGAAGCUCUUGAUCGAAGCCCCGGUAAACGGCGGCCGUAACUAUAACGGUCCUAAGGUAGCGAAAUUCCUUGUCGGGUAAGUUCCGACCUGCACGAAUGGCGUAAUGAUGGCCAGGCUGUCUCCACCCGAGACUCAGUGAAAUUGAACUCGCUGUGAAGAUGCAGUGUACCCGCGGCAAGACGGAAAGACCCCGUGAACCUUUACUAUAGCUUGACACUGAACAUUGAGCCUUGAUGUGUAGGAUAGGUGGGAGGCUUUGAAGUGUGGACGCCAGUCUGCAUGGAGCCGACCUUGAAAUACCACCCUUUAAUGUUUGAUGUUCUAACGUGGACCCGUAAUCCGGGUUGCGGACAGUGUCUGGUGGGUAGUUUGACUGGGGCGGUCUCCUCCUAAAGAGUAACGGAGGAGCACGAAGGUUGGCUAAUCCCUGGUCGGACAUCAGGAGGUUAGUGCAAUGGCAUAAGCCAGCUUGACUGCGAGCGUGACGGCGCGAGCAGGUGCGAAAGCAGGUCAUAGUGAUCCGGUGGUUCUGAAUGGAAGGGCCAUCGCUCAACGGAUAAAAGGUACUCCGGGGAUAACAGGCUGAUACCGCCCAAGAGUUCAUAUCGACGGCGGUGUUUGGCACCUCGAUGUCGGCUCAUCACAUCCUGGGGCUGAAGUAGGUCCCAAGGGUAUGGCUGUUCGCCAUUUAAAGUGGUACGCGAGCUGGGUUUAGAACGUCGUGAGACAGUUCGGUCCCUAUCUGCCGUGGGCGCUGGAGAACUGAGGGGGGCUGCUCCUAGUACGAGAGGACCGGAGUGGACGCAUCACUGGUGUUCGGGUUGUCAUGCCAAUGGCACUGCCCGGUAGCUAAAUGCGGAAGAGAUAAGUGCUGAAAGCAUCUAAGCACGAAACUUGCCCCGAGAUGAGUUCUCCCUGACCCUUUAAGGUCCUGAAGGAACGUUGAAGACGACGACGUUGAUAGGCCGGGUGUGUAAGCGCAGCGAUGCGUUGAGCUAACCGGUACUAAUGAACCGUGAGGCUUAACCUUACAACGCCGAAGGUGUUU
rnacentral:rRNA from 1 species